GCGAACUGUUUGAACGGGAACGCGUUGCCUUUUUACCUCCUGCCGAAUGAGGGAAGAAGACACUCGCAGCAACCGAUCAGUGGGCACCGCUUUCGAUCUCCCACGAUCCGUUUUCGCUCUUUCGAUCUUGAUCGCAGUAUCUCAAUGGUCGCAGCUUCUGCCAUCAAUGCCACCAAGGUAAUUGUCGGCAAGGGGUGUUUACAGCAAUUUCCCUGCGGGUGGAGUGAAGGCGAUCUCGGCAAGGGGGUUUUGGGCGCUGCGUUCUACCUACAGCGCCGGCAUCGACGACAUUGGGGUUGUGGCGUCAGGGGAAGGGAGGCGGAGUUCUGAUCCGAUCAUUUACACUGCAACAAAAGGGAGAGAUGAUGACGGGAAUAUGAACCGUCACAAACAAGGGGCUGAUCGUCGUUAUGAUUGUUCGUAAGCCGCAGGAGCAACUCCAAAGCGCUGCUCAACAGUUCCUGGAAACAGCAGCAGAAAUGGGAGGAAGAACGUCAUUUUCCACACUCUGGAUAUUACUCAACCGCAGAGUGUGUAGGAUUUCGUGAACUGGUUGAAGCGAAAUGUCAGAUUCCUCGAUAUUCUGGUGAUUUUUCAUAGUCUCUUUCUUUCUCUCUGUCUCUCUCGCACAGACAGACACACAGGCAGGAUUUGGUGGUUUUGCUCAUUAAGUAUGAAAUUCGAUCUUUAACUUCUGCUCAUUUCCCCCUGUUUUUUCUUUGUUCUCCUUGAUUUUUGCCUUCGAAGGGUCUAUUUUACAGGAAUUUUCAGACUGCUUGAUGUGGAAAGGGCAAUUUCAGAGAUUUAAUACUCUUGGAUCCAGAUUUUCAAACUAUUGCAUCACGAGGCACCUUUUGAAUGUGUUAUGGAUUGCCCGGUGAAAAAAUUGUUAAGGAUCGAUCUCAUCUUUCUUGCCCGUAAUUCCUCUAUUUUUUGUCCCUUGGCAUGUUUUUUCCUACACAUCUUCCUUUCUAUCUUGCCCUACCUUAUAAAUUCUGUAAAUAUUCUAGGUUCUUCUUUAUUAGCACCCACAUCCAUGUCUCCUUCAGAUGAAAAGUAAUCUGAAAUUUCACGGCCACCGCAAACACUUUUUGGAUCUGAUGUUCCAUCAAGAUCCUAUGAGUAGAAAACUGAUGGGUUACAGAAAUUUUUUAAAUGAGAAUGAAUAGCCCUGCAGAUCGAAUCCGAAAAAAGACUAAAAACCCUGUCUUCAAAAUGUAAUUUUACUUUUGCCAAUAUUCGCAGAAGUCAAACCUCUUAAUGAAGUAGCUGAUGUAAUUGAUAAGUACCACCUUUCUGUAGUUAUAAACAGAACAUCGAUUGUGAUCUCAUUGCUCAUGCAAAGCAGAUGAAGCUCAUUAUGUAGUUGGCAUUGCACUGGAAGGUUCAAGUCGAAUGGUAUAUAUUUAUGCCUUUUUUUUUUUUACAAUCAUAUGCCUUAGCAAAGGUUAGUUUUCCUUUUGUUACAUUUUAUUGCUUUUUUCAUAGGUAAUAUUCUAGUGAUUUUUUAUGUGCAUGUUACAGUGUGAAAUCUGAAUUUCUCUGAGUUAUCAAGCUUUGAGUUCUUAAUGGAGUCUGCAAGCAAUUACUACAUCAGUUACUUCAUGGGCCUUAAAGACCUAUAUUUGAACCAGAUGUAACGAUGUCAACACAUCAGAUUCAUACGUUGGAGCGUCAUUCAGAAAAUGGCUAUAAUCUUCAAAGGAAGAACCAAGUGCUGUAAACCAACAUUCAGUUAUUUUUUUCUCCACAUUUUCAAUCAAGUCAAAAUGUUGAUUGAACUAUAUUUUUCAUGAUUUUCUAUCUUAAAUCCCUCUCUGAUGGACCCUGUAUGAAUUUGUCGGGCAACAAGUGCCUUACAAGUUCUUCAGAAUGUCUUCGAACGUUCUAGUGGAGGAGGCUCUUCAAUUACAUAUCCUGCAUUUAGGGUGACCAUCAUGCAUUUAGGCAUCAUGGACAAGUCACCUCCUGUAAAGAUAGUUGCAACAAGGUGUCCUACUGCACAUUUGCCAGCAUUGGAGAUCCAGGACUUGGGCCAACAGAAUUGAGCACUUUGCAACAUGUUGUGUCUUGGCAAGCAUACAUUUCCUUAAAGCAAAUUAUCUUGUUUAAUUUUUUCUACCAAAAUAUUGAGUGAUCUAUCUUAUUUCUUUGGUUCAUUUUGUUUAAUUAGUGCUUAACUUCCGUUCUUGUUAUUUGAGGUGGGAAUGAAGGUAAUUGUCCAUUGUCACAUGGGUGAAAGGAAGAUGAAGAGGGUUUUGCACAGCAUUGAUGGUAAAUCAUAAAUGAACAGCGAUACCCUUUUUUUCUCUCUUUUGCAGGAAGAAAGCUUGUUCUGAACUUCCUUCCUAUGGAACUAAAGAAAUGUUGUAAGUUGUAACCAUCUAGUGAGUUUUCAAUAUGAUGCUUUCAUGAAGGCUUGACCAACUUUCUUGUUUCACUACACAGAUUAUUCCCUUUUUUUCAGUGACUUGUCGUCGUGCUUACUUGUGAGCUAAAAUGGGAUAUGUUCCUAAGCAAUAUCGUGAUCAUAUGCUUCUGGUCUUCGUUUAUGCUUUUCCUGUUUUAAAUGCAUCAUCUUGAUUCUGCUUCAAAACAAUCUGAAGUUCAUCAAGACAUUUUGGAAGCAGAAACUGAGUGCUUCUGAGUGUGCCCCCUCCCCCCCUUCUCUCUCUCUCCCUCUGUCUAGCAUUUUAAGUGCAAAAAAGAAAAGAAUAGUAAGCUUAUGUGGAUGCAUGGAGGCAUGCUUGUUCCUUGCAUUUGCAUAUGCUUGUUUACAUGUGCAUAUAUAUAUAUAUAUAUAUAUAUGGAGGCAUGCUUGUUCCUUGCAAUCUGAAGUUCAUGAAGACAGUUUGGAAGCCGAAACUAAGUGCGUCUGAGUGUGCCUCCUCCCCCUUCUCUCUCUCUCCUUCUGUCUAUCAUUUUCCUCUGUCUAUCAUUUUAAGUGCAAAAAAGAAAAGAAUAGUAAGCUUAUGUGCAUGCAUGUUCCUUGCAUUUGCAUAUACUUGAUUACAUGUGCAUAUAUAUAUAUAUAUAUAUUGUCAUCUGUUUGUCUUUCCCAAGGCAGGGUACCUUGUGGUGAACCAGCAUCUUCUUGACAGAAGCAACUGAAUGAGGUGCUUCUUUUUUGUGUGCAUGUACUUAGGGGAAGUUCACUUUUCCCAAGUACCCAAUAUUUUCUCAAAAAGGGAGGGGGUGGUAUCCUGGGCCUUCCUUUUGCUCUUGAUUCCUACCCUGCCUACGAAUCACAAUGGUGCCUGAUAUAGUUAAUGAUACAUCACUAGUUUUUUACAGCUUUAUUUGUCUCCUUUAGCUCUUGUUUUGUAUUCUUAUAUACAGUCCUGCUAAACAUUUUUAUAUUUGAAGUUAAGCCUAUCUGGUGCUACAUUUCAAAUUUUGACAUUGCAUUUAUGUGGGUGCAGUAUCUAAUUUCAGGUCUGGGACCCUUGAAUUUGUCGAGGGAAGAACCUCUUUCCGCUCUGGCUACAGCAUCAGGAAAGCUUCAGCUUGUAGAGAAGGUUCAACUUAUUCUAUGAAUGCCAACAUUAUUUAAGCUCGUUUUCAAAUGUAUUAUCUGUAAUUUUCUUUUGUUUUUAAAUAUUUUUCUUCUGUUGGAAUGAUAAAAAGCUUGUGUCAUUGUUCAUAUUGUCAAUACCAUAUGCCGUUGCUUCCUAAGCUGAAUGCAAGAAGAAAUCGUGUUUUGCUUUUCUCACA